rnacentral:rRNA from 1 species
GACGAACGCUGGCGGCGUGCUUAACACAUGCAAGUCGAACGAAGUGGCGAACGGGUGAGUAACGCGUAAUCAACCUGCCCUUCAGAGGGGGACAACAGUUGGAAACGACUGCUAAUACCGCAUACUGAAGGAGGGGAUUGCGGCUGAUUAGGUAGUUGGAGGGGUAACGGCCCACCAAGGCGAUGAUCAGUAGCCGGUCUGAGAGGAUGAAAGGCACAAUUGGGACUGAGACACGGCCCAGACUCCUACGGGAGGCAGCAGGGGGGAAUCUUUCGAAAUGGGGGAAAGGCUGACGCAGCAACGCCGCGUGAGGGAUGACGGGCUUCGGGUUGUAAAGCGCUUUUAAUCGGGACGCGGUACCGGAAUAGAAAGCCACGGCUAACUACGUGCCAGCAGCCGCGGUAAUAC